GACAGAGGGUGCGAACGUUGUCCGGAUUUAUUGGGCGUAAAGAGCGUGUAGGCGGCCAGGUAGGUCCGCUGUGAAAACUCGAGGCUCAACCUCGAGAUGUCGGCGGAAACCAUCUGGCUAGAGUCCGGAAGAGGAGAGUGGAAUUCCUGGUGUAGCGGUGAAAUGCGCAGAUAUCAGGAAGAACACCCGUGGCGAAGGCGGCUCUCUGGGACGGUACUGACGCUGAGACGCGAAAGCGUGGGGAGCGAACAGG
rnacentral:rRNA from 1 species